GUCUCAGUUCGGAUUGUAGUCUGCAACUCGACUACAUGAAGCUGGAAUCGCUAGUAAUCGCAGAUCAGAAUGCUGCGGUGAAUACGUUCCCGGGCCUUGUACACACCGCCCGUCACACCAUGGGAGUUUGUAACGCCCAAAGUCGGUGGCCUAACCUUUAUGGAGGGAGCCGCCUAAGGCGGGACAGAUGACUGGGGUGAAGUCGUAACAAGGUACC
rnacentral:rRNA from 1 species